GGACCGAAUACGAGUGUGACAAAACCAACAAAUGGAGAAUAAACUUCUUCAUCUCUUCCUCCUCAAAGCGGGAUGAGUACAAAAACCGAAUGAAUGCAUAAACAGCUUCAAAAGGUGCACCGAGAAUUUUGAUAUAUCUAAUUCCAUUCUUAACUUUUGAUUGCUGAAGAAGAUUCUGGAGUACUGGUGAUGCAAUACUCAAAACAUUGAAAUGAGCUGGAAUAUAUGAUUUGCCAUCUGUAAUAAUAUAGACAUCUGAACCAUAUCCUUCCUUGAAUAGCCUGUCCCAUGAAUCUAAUAUCUCCUUUGGGACAGAGGAACACCCUGAAAUUCUUUUGUGAUUGGUUCUAAAUGUUCUAUCAGGAAAAGGAGGUGGUUUGGGUAUGCUACUAUGGUAGGACAUAGAAGAGGCGGGAGAUUCCAGCACAUGUAAAACAUCGGAAGAAUUCAUUCCCUCCAUAUUUAUAUUGAAACAUCCACUAACAGAUUCACCAGCUGCAGAUAGCCAGGAGGAAUGAAGAUCUGGUGAAGCCAUUGUCUAAUGAACUUACUUUUAUAUCAAUAAAUAACAACAAAAAGAAUCUUGAAA
rnacentral:misc_RNA from 1 species